UGACGGUGGACAGUGUCUUCUAGUGGUUAGUGCGUCGGGGUAGGAUCGGGGGACCCAGGUUCAAAUCUCUCCUUGGCCAUGAAGCUUGUUGGGUGACCCCCAAUCCAGUCUACUAUCUUGCAGCCUUAUCUGCCUCAUAGGGCUGCCAUGAGGAUACAAUUGCUUUGGGGAGAACUAUGCAUUCCAGUUUGAGGUCUUACGGAGGAAAGGCAAGAUAAUAAAUGCAAUAAAUGGCCACCUGCUUAGCUUGCGUACACACCGCGCAUUUAAAGCGCAUUGAAAGCAACCUGCUUACUGCAGUUCCUGAGAACUGUUAUUUGCCCCUUACAGAGCAACAAUUCCCAGCAUCCUUAAACUACAGUUCCCAGGAUUCUUUGUGGGAAGGCAUGUGCUGUAAAUAUGGUGUGCAUGCAGCCUCAGCUGCUGUUUUAUUUAAGUGGUCAUAGAAACCAAUCAGCCCAUUCAUGACAGCUCACAUAUAAUUGCUGAGCAGAGCCUCCAUGUGCAGCAGCACUCUACCUCUGACAGCCGGAUACUGGGAAUGAACAACAGGAAAAGGCCUUGCUCUUCCUGUUAUUACUCAGGAGGGUCACUGUAUGGCAGGAUUCUGGAUGCUCUUCUUUCCCUUAAGCAUCUAACUGUUCUUUUGAAAGGGUCUGUUAAAACCAAAGCAACCAAUUGCGGGAACUUGCCCAGAGCUGGCUUCUAUUGCUUUUUUUAAAAAAUGCAGGUGGAGCCUAGAGCGUAAACUGAAACCGGAACAAAAGCAGGCAGCCAAGCUGAUCAUUCCGUCAUUUUUUUGGUCUGGGGGGCUGGGAAGCAUGGAGGGGCUUGGGCAGCUCAAACGUGGUUUGUUUCCCUGUUAAAUCUGGGUCCCCUUUAGUACUGUGGAGACUCUAAAGUGUGCUUGCACUUGUGUCUGCAAGGGCUGCCUAAGCUCGUCUUUAGAGGCUGCCCUAACAGCUCACGACGGUGGUGAGGAUGAGAAUGUUUCCUGGCACCAAUAGAUAGAUAUUUUAUUGACAGUGUUUUAAAACGUAUAAAAGAGCAACUGGAAGCCCAUAUGAUGGUAAAUUUGCCAAGAUCUCCCGUAAAUGCGAGGGUAGCUUUUCUCUUUAUAUAUAAAACGUCUCUUCCCCAACCUGGGAUGGGAUGUUCGACUGAGCAGGGGACAUUCUGGAAAGAGGAGUCUGCGGACGGAAUCACCUUGAAGCAUUACCCUGGGCAAAACUCUGUGAUGGGCAAAAUUUUGAGGAGCACAGAGUUGAGGCUUGUGGUGUCAUUCAUUCAUUCAUUGCAUUUAUAUCCCACCUUUUUCUCCAUGGUAGUGUACAUGAUUCUUUCCCCGCUUUCAUUUGUUCCACACAACAAUCCUGAAAAAUAGGUUAGGCUGAGAGGUUGUGACUGGCCCAGUGAGAGCUCCAUGGCAGAGUGGGGAUUUGAACCAUAGUCUCCCAAAUCGUAGUCCAGCACUCUAACCACUGCACAACACUACCUCAGAGAUUACAUAUUUCACUUUGGAGAGGGCUUCUCUCCAGCGGAGAAGCAAAACCUUCACUUGCACGAUACAUUUUUGGCAUGUGCGUUGGUACCAAAGCUUGACACCAUCUUGCCUACCGGAAGUGGGUGACGAGCGUUCAAAAGAAGCGGUGUGUGUUGGUGUGUGUUAGAGAGGAUGAGAGUUCACUGAGAUGAAGCAAAGGAGGGAAGAAUGGAAAAGAGGGAUUCAAAGAAGACGGCAGCACCUCUGAAUGGAAGAGUAAACAGGCGCUGGGCGGCAUUAAGUUAAUUGAUUGCUCUGCAACAGGCGGAACACUGUGUUAUUCUGUCGCCGUGGCAACAACCCCCCAAAAUUGUCAGCCUGUUCGGAUGAAGUGAAGCGAGACAUUGUCUAAUUUGCGGUGAUCUGGGUGUUUGUUUUUCCUUCUGAGGGGGCGGGGAUCCAUUGAUCUGUUGUUUGCUCAAAACUCUCGCUCUAGUUCUUUUUUCUUUUUUUAGAAUAAUCAUCAUAAUAACAUUUUCUUUAUUAAAAAGAAAAUCAGAGGUGGUUGGAAGCAGGGGGGUGGAAAUGUUGAUUGUUUCCUCAAGUUACCUUGGUUUCGUCACAUGGGCUGCAGAGGUGAAAAACAAAAAAAGUCAUCUCCUUGCUUAACCUCACCGGGGAGGGAAUUAGGAGCGUUGCUGAAACUGGGAGUUGAUUCAUAUCUUCCUCAUGGAAGCCAUGCAAAAUUUCAGCUUAGCGAUCCAAAACAUCUUGUUUUCUUUGCCAGGGCAGGAGUUGGAUGAGUGGGAAUUAAAAGAAAGCAAUAUCCAACAUGUUCUUUAAAAGAAAAAAGAAAACCUUUCCCGAACAAUUUUAAUUUAACAAUUCAGUAUUUAUUUGCCAGCUGAGUUCCAAGUGCUGUAUAAAAGAUUGAUCCAGAGCAACUUCUGCUUCCAGGUUAUAUAGUCUAUGCCAGCUUAUAAGACCCUUUCUAUUGUCCCCACCAACUGAAAGUGUUGGAAACUCAGAUCUAUAAGCUAAUGGCCAAAUUGCACCUUAAGCCUAGGUUACAGUCGCCACAACGGACUGUCUAGAUGCUUUUUUUGCAGUGAGAUGGUGAUGGUGAUUCAUUUCACUUACACACCGCUUUAUAUUGUAAAGAAAAAAAAUCUCAGAGUGGUUUACAACACAUUAAAACAUCAAGUAAAAGAAUCCAGACUAAAACAAAUGCAAGCGUCGAGGAAAAUAUUUCAGAUCCUUCUCUAAGUGACAUUUUGCUUUCCCCAUAUUUACUUACCAGCUUAAUUUAUAGAGCUGCCCCAUUGCAGAAGUACUCUAAGAAACCAGUGUGGAGUAGUGGUUAAGGAGUGUCAAACUAGGACUUGGGAGAUCAGGGUUCAAAUCCCCACUCAGCCAAGAAGCUCACUGGGUGAACUUUAGCCAGUCACAGCCUCUUAAACUACCUCACAGUGUUGUUGUAAGGAUUAACUGAGGGGGUGUGUGAACCAUGUACUCCUUGGAGGGCUAUAAAUAGGGGGGAAAGCUCUAAUGCUGACGUGCUUAAGAAGGCUGGAGGUACCAACCAAAUGGAGAUAUCAGUCGCUGACCUGGCAUCCAGAGACGUGGUCGCAAUUGGACCCACACCAGUCGCAAAAUGCGCCUAGAGCUUGGGGGAUUUUGAGCGCUGGUUGGGGACAAGAAGAAGCUGAGCAGCCUAACUCUUUAGAAGGAGAAGUCAGUGGUUAUUCAUUUUCAUUUAUUCCAAUAACAUAUAUUCACCUGCCAAAAGGCACUCUAGGCAGACGUAACACGGCUUACUGACACAUCAUGAAUAAAAGAGUACGGUGCGGCAGGAAAGCAAAAUCACAGGAGAGCAAAAUCUCGGGUUCUUCACCACCAUCAUCCUUGCUCUCACUUCACAGUGACUCGGUGGCCCGGUUAGCAUUUAACACAAAGCCGUGGUUAGCCAAACCAUGAUUUGUCUAUCACUCAGCUGAUUCAACAAAACCAUGCCUUGAUUCUCCAAAGUUUGGUUUCAUUUUCCAGCUGCUUCUGCCUUUGGAGCUUGGCUAGUGGCUAUGGUGGGUUGGCCAAGCAAGCCAUGCUUAAGGAAGGCUGCUCAUAUAAAUCAAGCCCAGGUUCAUAAAGCAACAACAAAAACUUGGCUUCAGAUCAUGGUUUGUUGGCAGUAAACAAACCAUAGUUCAGGCACAAGGCAAGGGUCACCCACAAUGCUAUGCCGUGGUUUAAUUCACCACAGUUUAUUAAACCCUGGAUCAGUGUGUGAAGAGAGGGUCUUUAAAUAUUCCCAUUUUACAGGAUGGUAGAACGGAGACUGAGAGAAGGUUCCCACCACAAAGACCACACAGUGGACAUUUAGCAGAAAGACCUGAGGCUUAUAUCCAGAUCUCCCAUUUCAUGGGCCUACAGUAAAUCAAGUAGACAACAGCCAAAUCUCCCCUUGCUCUCCCCAUGAACCUGACCCUGCCCUUAGAGCACAUGGUUGACUGUGGAGUAUUGGUCUCCAAAGUGGAGCUAUCAUUUAUUUUUUUGUCUGGAUCAUAAUACACUGGUGCCUAUAAGCCGGAGAGGAAUAUGGCAUGGGGAGGAACCCAUUUAUCCCCUGGAUUCCUUGUUCUUCCUCUUCUCCUUUCUUCUGAAUGUAUUUCCUCUUCCAUACUUCUUCCCUUUCCUCCUUUUCUGCCCCUUCCCUUGUUCAUCAUACGUUCCUCUAGAUAUCAGGUCCUACGAUCUAGGAAAACACACACGUGCGCGUGCGCGCACACACACACAAUCUAGCUGAGAUUCCUGUAUUGCAGGGGGUUGGACUGGAUGCCCUUUGGGGCCCCUCCCAACUCUACAGUUAUGUUAUUCCUUUUUUCCACCCUCUCCCACUCAGCUGUUGCAUGAACUUCAACGGGGGUUACCUUGCAGGGUUCAGGUUUGGUGGCGGUGGUGGUGAGUUGGGGCAGCGUCUGGUGCUAAACAUCAUCUCCCCACCGAAUCCCAGAAUGGAGUGUGUUUUCCUGGGGGCGCUACAGUUCUGCGGGUAUGAUGCACAUUUGUGUUACGUGUGCGUUGUUUGUGUGUGUGUUUUCGAAAAAAGAGCAAACUGUUUGACUGGCAGAAGCAGCAGUUGAAACGAGGUGGUUAUUGGCGUCAGGAAAAGCUAAAUAACCCUGUAACUGGUAUGAAGGUGAAUUCAUGGUCUGGUGAGCACUGAAAAUAUGAGAGUUCUCUAGACAGGCAGCGUGGAGCAGGAAAUAACACUGCAGAAGCUUCCGAGGAAGCCUGGAUAGCCAAGGGCAGGGCAUCAGGACAAGAGGGGUCUGCUAGCGGCUGUGUAAGCAGGGUGGCACAUUUUUAUAUCGCCUGGAGCGAAAUUCAGAAAUCUGAUCAACCUCAUUUUUUAAAAAAAGGAAGGAAGGAAGGAAGGAAGGAAGGAGCAGCAAGUUGCUAGUUCUCAGGCUUCUGGAGAACAGCUUGAAAACAUCUCCAGUGGGGAUGGAGGGGGCGUUGUUUGGUUCAGUUUGCAUUUAAAGGUUUGUGCUUUCUGAGACAAUACGGCCGCCAACCAAAACACAGCCAAAUUUGCACUUUCCAAAUUUUGCAAUGUGGUUUUCUGGCCAAGUAAUGUGCACAAAAAUGCACAUACUAGGGUAAAAUGUGUCUAGAAAUUCACGUUUUAGUGAAAAUAAUUUAGAAAAAUGUGUUAUAUUAGUGAAAACCAGGCUCAUAAGUUGAUGUGGAGAACUGAAGCAAAUACAAUG